AUAAUCCCCACACUCGGUUGAAGGUUUUGGGUAGUCCACCCCAUCCUUCUAGUCAGAGAAACUCCUCUCUUGCGAAAGUGUAAAAAAAAAAAAAAAAAAAAAGGAAGAUUGUUGAAAUUUGUUGCCGUUAUAUUUACACGUUCAGUGUCUAAUAAGAAGGUCAAGUAUAGUCAUGUUGGUUUGUUUGCUUCCGCGUGUGUUAAAUAAAGAAAAGAAAAGUAAGAAUCUUAUUUGUGAAAGGGGGAUGUAGUAUUAUGUUACUUACGGUAAUGUUAUGAGGCAUGCAGUAUGCUUGGGAACCUAUAUUGGGGGUGUUACGGGACUGGGGGAGGAGAAUAAAAGUUCGUUUAAGAAGUUAUGGUCGGCUGUCGCGUGGUUCAUUAUGAAAGGUUUAUGUUGUACCUAUUAAACGACAGAACAUUAAGUGUGUUAAGGUAUGUGGCAGCUCAGUGGUUCGAACCCCAGGUCCACCAAGCUGCCACUGCUGGCCCCCUGAGCAAGGCCCUUAACCCUCAUUUGCUCAGUUUGUAAGUCACUCUGGAUGAGGGCAAUCUAAUAAAAUGUGUUUGACAGAUAAGAUAAUAGGAAUCUUACAAAACGAAUGUGACAUGUGCAAUAUCUUUUUAGGUUUGGUUUUUAUUUUGAUGGGGGGAUUCCGGGUCCGGAGACACGCCCACUGCUGCUGAGCUGCGCAUCGACAUGGAGCACACCUGUGCCACAUAAUUAGUGCAGCAUGCUAGUGGCUUUAUAAAAAGCACAUUGGAGUGGGGCUGUUUAAUUUCUCUUCCGUGUACAUCUUGUGUGGGCAGAAAAGGUCUUUUGGCUAUAUUUUCCUGUCGCUUUCCCCUGGUGCGGCCAAAGAGCGCUAGCUGCUGUUUCUAAUGGCUGUUUUUAGCUGCUGUUUCUAGCUGCCGUUUUAUUACGGCUAUUUUCUUAGUUGCUGUUCUGAUUAUUGCUGUUUGUUUUUAUGUAUAUUUUUCAGAGCUGUUUUAAACUUGACUCAUUUGGGUUACAGUCGGCAUAGUGCGGACGUUGCAGCGGUGAACACUAUAUCUUGAAUACUGGGAUGAUACGUCAGUACUGCAUUGCUGAAUAUUUAUUCUGAGUACAAGUUUAUCUAGGUUUAUCAAGUUUAUUUAGGUUUUGUAUUUCUUUCUUUCAAACCGUUUUGGUGCUCUUUAAAUGAAUCUGUUUUUACCGGUUAUCACUGGACUGUCAUUUGUAUUGUUUCUCUUUUCUUUUGUUUGAGUGUCUGUUUACCGCAUAUAUAUCCACCUCUGACUAUCGGACAACGAACUGUGAUUAGUGAGGCUUAACAGAGGGAUUGUAUGUUUGUCGUCCUUUUGGUUUAUCCCUUUUUUUUUUCUUGCUUUAUCAGUUGUUUAUUAUGCACUGCUUUGUGUGGUGUGUCCCUCUUUGUUAAGGCGGACCUAGUCUAGUUGUUUUCUCCAUUGUUGGUAACUAAUCGGUAAACUGUACACUUGUAUCUUAAUGUUUUUAAGAGCAAAUGGUUUUUCUUUUUCUUGUUUUUGUAAAAUAAAGUUGUACUCAUUUUUGGAAA